rnacentral:rRNA from 1 species
UGGGGAAUUUUGGACAAUGGGCGCAAGCCUGAUCCAGCCAUGCCGCGUGAGUGAAGAAGGCCUUCGGGUUGUAAAGCUCUUUCGGCUGGGACGAAAAGGUCCGUGUUAACACCACGGAUCCAUGACGGUACCAGCAGAAGAAGCACCGGCUAACUACGUGCCAGCAGCCGCGGUAAUACGUAGGGUGCAGGCGUUAAUCGGAAUUACUGGGCGUAAAGCGUGCGCAGGCGGUUUGCUAAGACAGGUGUGAAAUCCCCGGGCUUAACCUGGGAACUGCGCUUGUAACUGGCAAGCUUGAGUGUGGCAGAGGGGGGUGGAAUUCCACGUGUAGCAGUGAAAUGCGUAGAGAUGUGGAGGAACACCGAUGGCGAAGGCAGCCCCCUGGGCUAACACUGACGCUCAUGCACGAAAGCGUGGGGAGCAAACAGGAUUAGAUACCCCCGUAGUCC